GAUAAACACAGCUAACUACAGGGUUUGGACUCUUCCAUACGAACCCAAUUUUGGUUGGUGUGUUUCUAUUUCACUUCAAAUGAGCCACUGUCACAGGACAAAAUAGCUAAGGUAAUGCAACUAAUCAACUUGAACGGAGUUUCUCCCAACUUGAGUGGACAUUUCUUCAUGGUGACUGAGUCAGCAACGCAAUGGAAGCCAAAUCUGUUUCGGAAACUUCUGUGUCAUGGUUUACUCCGUAACGUCAUCAUGGUACCAAAGUAGUAAAAUUGGAUGUAUCUUCACACUGAAAAGUUUAGCAGGUCCAAAAGGAGUCAUAAUAUGACCAGAGUAGUCAGAACCAGACCAUCCAAGACCCAGACCAAUGACAGACCUCCCAAGACCCGACCAAGACUAGGCCCUUCAAGACCCAGAUCCAGACCAAGACCUGUCGGUCCAAGAAGCAGGCAGUACAUUUUAAUGAACUAAGAUGCUGAAUUUAUAUUUUGAAGAAACUGGUGGACAGCCAGAGUAGAGGUCUGCAUGGCAUUGGUCUCAUUUUCACAGCAUGUACACCCAUUCCUUUUAUUUCUCCACCACUUUACCC